GGAUUCCCCGGAAGCGCUGGCGCUCCGCGACGCCCCGAGUCGAGCUCGCUCACCGAUGGAAAUUCCGGCCGUCCAGCCGCACGACCACCCAGCAGUGGGCCAGGCAGGUGUCGUCAGCCUCGAAGUCCCUCACGUACUCGAACCUGCUUUUUGCCAUGGUCGCCCCCAAUCUCAGGGGUUCCAGAAGUCGUGAGGAUGUGGUUGACGGAGGGCUUGGAAAAAGAUGUUAGGAAAAGAGAAAGGAAAUUAAAUGCUAUCACGCAACAGCAAACAAGACAGCCAUGCUGCCUGCCCGGUGGGGUUCGCGGUCAGCUGGGAAAGACAGACCUGAUGACAAACAAUUGUGUGAAGUGUUGUGAAUCAGGCUGGAGGCCUGGCACUGGUGGCGGGUGUGGCUGGGGAUAGUCCAUGAAGUUUCCCCUGAGGAAGCAGUACUUAAAUUGAGACCCAAUAAUGAGAUCAUAAGACAGCAUGCUUACACGUUUCUGGAAUCCUUGAAUUUUAAUGUUGGGUGAAUGUUUUGCCACAACAUUUUGCUUGUAUAAGACUUUGGAAAGGAACCCUGAGUAGUGUGAAUUUCUAUAUCAUGGGUCAGCCAAUUAAUAAACACUGAUUGAGCACCUUCAAUGUGUGAGGGCACUGGAUGAUGUGUGAGGUGUCUGGGCCAACUGAGAAUCAUUUUGAUAUUUCAGAUAUCCAGGACUGAUUAAAUGGAAGAGAUAGACAAAAGAAAAAAAAAAGAACUUUGUGUCCAUAGGUACUGACUAGGAGGAUAUCAUUGAUAAUUAUACCUUCUGGACAUAAGAAACUUAUUCCAAACCAUAUUCUUAUACGUUAUUCAUUUUUUUUCCUCUCUCAAUGAGUCUGUAGGGGAGAUAAGACAACAAUUUUCUCCAUUUUAUGAGAAAAGAAACAAAUAUUAUGGGGAUUAGUUAAGUGAUUUGCUCAAUAUCCCACAACUUUCCAAACUAGGAUUAGAACCCAGGCCUUUUGACACCAAGUCCAAGGUCCCCUCCACUCUGCCACCUUGCCUUUCCAUGCUUGUCAGGAAUGAAGUAGAUAGCUGUUGUCUUUACCUGCCCAGCAUUUCAUUUUUCUGACUUUGGACCAGGGAAGCCCAGCUGUCCUUUCCCCACCUUCAGGCCAUGUAGUCCAGGUGGAGAUAAUCCCUCCUCACCUAUUGCUCCAGGGUGAGCACACGGCCAAGACCACUGUCAUGUCCUAGUGUGAACUGGAUAAAGAUCCCUCUCUCCUGUCACACACAGUCCUGAACCAGGAUAAAGGCUUGGUGAAUGCGGCCCUCGCUGGAUUUCAGCCCCUGCUUGUCUUUUUUUGCAAUGAACAACCUGCACAAAUAUCUGUGGCCUUCCUAAUGACUGAGACCUAGCCAGUAAGGUUCUGAGAUGUGGAUCUGACCCAAGCCAGGUCAAUGAGACAGUCUGGCCCUUUGCUAGGAUGACGAGGAAAGACAGGCUAUCUUCCCAUUAGAAUUGUUACACUGGUGGCCAUGUUGCCUUCAAGAGGGAAGAGACCACCCAAGAUUUCAGUUUACACAAAGGAAAGAAAAUAGGACAGAUGGAGACAAAAACUGUGAUAACAUUGAGCACCACACUUGGAGCCAGUGCUACCCCUGGACUCAUAAGUUCCUGGAGAGGGGGACUUUGCUUCAUAUGUUUCAAAGCUGAAUCCCUCAUGCCUAGAACAGUGCCUGACACAAAGGAAGCAAUCAAUAAAUAUCUGUUGAAUAAUUGAGCUGAUAAAUUCCUUUUUUGUUUUUCUUUUUUGUAUAUGUAACUGGGUUGUUGGAAAUCUCAAUUCAAUGGGGAGUAUAAAUAAAAAGUAACUUUAUUUUUCCCAGUAA